GUGGAACUGACGUGAACGCUCCGAGUCAGAGCGGCAGUCAGGCGCCGACAGAGCAAGGAUGACAGCGCAGGUGGAGGCGACCCGUCCUCCUCCGUAGGAUCUUCUCAGACUCCAUCAGCGGAGAUCCAAGACGGCUUCAGGAGGAUGUUUGGCCUUUGGUCGGAGGGAAAUUACAGAUGGAAACCUCAUUUCCUCCCAUCGGUCUGGAUUCUUCUGCUGGCAGCCGCGCCGCGCUCAGCGCUCGGAUCUUUCCUGGCAGACACCAAAGCCGUUCUGAUUGGCUGCGAGGACCAGUGGACGCUGCAGAGCGCCGUGGUCGUGCCCCGCCUCUUCCAGAUGACGGUGUGCGUGGACGUGCACGUGGUCGUCCCUGGAGCCUGGGCGGGCUUCCUGUACACCUCGGUGCGCGGUCCCAAUCCUGACCUGGGCCUGGAGGGAGACGCCACGGCGAUUUACGGGUGGUUGCUUCAAGUCCGCCACCGAUUCCCGCUGCAGCUGACGCCGCUGCAGUGGCACCGAGUGUGUCUGAGGCGGGACGCCGAGGGCAACUCCUUCAUUCUGGAGGUGGACGGGCGGACGGUGGCGGAGAGGACGGUGAUCGCCCAGGCCAUCCCUCCGUCCGGCACCCUGUGGCUGGGCUGCCAUCCCAGACUGCAGCCCCCGGGGGCUCAGCCGGGGAGGGUGGAGCUGUACCUGUUCCGCAUGUGGGCGGACCUGAACGACCACGGUCUGUGCGAGGACGGCUCCGUGAUUGGCUGGGACUCUCGGUUCUGGAGCGUGACCGGUCCCAAGGCCAAAGCGAAGGACCCGUACCUGCUGUGUGAGAAGAAACGUUUUCGGCGGGAAGCAUCAGAAACGAAGCAGACUCCAGGACUCACGACUGGUCCGGGAAUGUCUCGGGAAUAUUCUCCAGACCCUGAUUUCACACCCAACCCCCCCAACCUGUCGUCUACAGUCAGGCUGACCACGCCCCCCAUCACCACUGCAGCCAAUCAUCCCAGCAGCAGUGCGGCUGCAGAGCCUGCGCAGUCAGGUGAAGGAUCACCUGUGCUGAAGUGUGACACGCGGCAGCUCUGCUCCAAUCACAGUUCUCAUUUCUGGGUGUCAGUGACUGCUGAGGACCACUUUGAUGACGACCUGCAGGAUCAGGUUUCCAAAGCUUUUUCAUGUGAGAACGCCAACGCCACACCGUCACAGAGUUUCACAGAGUUCUGUCGGAGCGGCGGGAACGUUCAGGUCGUGGACGCGUCCUGCUCCAACACCACCGUCAGCACAACAACCUGCGGCGUGCUGCUGCUGCUGCUCAAAGGCACUGUGUCAGCAUGCGACCUGCAGCUCAUUGGGGAAUCUGCCCUGCAGCCGUCUGCCCCGCAGCCGUCUGCCCCGCAGCCGUCUGCGGGACGGAUGAGGCCAACCAUCAGGGUUCAGGUGGAGCGAGUGGGUCAGAACCUCUGUGAGGGUUUGUCUCCAUCUGAAGGCAGCUUCGUGAGAUGCUCGUCCACGUCUUCUCUGGAAGACAUCUGCCGCUCCAACGCUCACUCCAACAUUUCAUGCUCCAUCUUGGAGUCGGACUCUCCGCCCGUCUCUGAGCCCGGGUCGUCCUCCUGCACUGAGCCGGCGCCGACCUUCUGUGACUGCUCUGCGUCCUGCACUUCUACAAGUCAGUUUUAUGCCAUGAAACUCAACAUUAGAAACAACAGUUUCAAUGUUAAUACCCUCAAAAACAUGUUCUUACCGCCUCCACUG
ensembl:lncRNA